CUCCGCCACCGGCACCGCCGCCCCGUCCCGCCCCGUGCCUGGAGGUGCCACAGGGCGGGGGCAGCGUCCCCAAGUCCGUCCCGCUGGAAAACCCCGACAGCGGCCGCUGCCAGAGAGCUCCGGAGAGCCGCGGAGCCCCCUCAGCCGCCCGUACCUGCACCGCAGCUCGCCUGGACACGGCGGCUCGGCUCUGCUCUGCCCGCGGCGUGAUGGGGGAAAGGCCAGCUGAAGUUUGUUAAACAAAACUGCAAAGCCAACCAGAUCCUCGCGCUGGGCGCUGAUGAGCUCCGUCCCGCCGUUCUCGCUGGUUUUUCCAUCGGGAGUGCCACAGGUGUGGUGUAUUCGCUGUAAUGCGAAUGCAAGCCGCUCGGCCGUCGGGAGCUGCACCUGCGGAGAAUGAUUAGCUGGUAUUCCCUCGGAACGCGCUCGAGCCUGGGGGAGUCAGCCCAGAUUUCCUUCCCUCCCUCCCCCCAGCACAAGAUGAGGGCUGUGCAAACCUCACAGGCUUAUAACCUCAUUUGUCUCAUCUACACUCCCACCUGGAAGAGUACAGCUAUUUUUUUGGCAGCAGGAAUGAUACCUGGGGGGAAAGAAAAGUUGACUUCCCUUACUUCAGGAGAAGUUUCAGUGAAGUUAUUGCUGAGGAGAAUAUGAUUAAUAUACGGAAGACAAGAUGAUACUGACUCUUGCAGCUGCCCUCUACUCAGCAGAGAAGGAGCUGUUCAGAGCAUUACGCUGGGUUCUCAGCUGUGAAUACAACUGUAAUGCCAUAAUCCCAGCUCGGCACUGUCGGUCUGAUCCCAUGUGCCUUGCACAAACAGCACUGCAGUUCAGGCAAAGGGAAGUCUGGGAUGCCAAAAAGGUUGUAAUAUAUGUGCCCCUUUGUCUUUUAUAUAAAUAAG
rnacentral:lncRNA from 1 species